UGGGGAAUUUUGGACAAUGGGCGCAAGCCUGAUCCAGCAAUGCCGCGUGCAGGAUGAAGGCCUUCGGGUUGUAAACUGCUUUUGUACGGAACGAAAAGGCUCUGGUUAAUACCUGGGGCUCAUGACGGUACCGUAAGAAUAAGCACCGGCUAACUACGUGCCAGCAGCCGCGGUAAUACGUAGGGUGCGAGCGUUAAUCGGAAUUACUGGGCGUAAAGCGUGCGCAGGCGGUUAUAUAAGACAGGUGUGAAAUCCCCGGGCUCAACCUGGGACCUGCAUUUGUGACUGCAUAGCUGGAGUGCGGCAGAGGGGGAUGGAAUUCCGCGUGUAGCAGUGAAAUGCGUAGAUAUGCGGAGGAACACCGAUGGCGAAGGCAAUCCCCUGGGCCUGCACUGACGCUCAUGCACGAAAGCGUGGGGAGCAAACA
rnacentral:rRNA from 1 species